UGUUUGAUGUGAAUUUUAAUUGACUUUUGUUUACUUCAUCCUUUUGAUGUGAAUUUUAAUUAUAGGUAUUUCUCGAUCCGUUUGAUGUGAAUUUUAAUCUAACUCAGGUUUGUUAAGGGAACCAGACCAUAUAUGUUCCCUGUUCUGUGUUGGCUAGAACAUCUUGGGGGAGAGGUGAAGAUCCUUGACAAGGAUCUGAUAUUGGUUAAACUUCACUCAUUUCCUCACCUGCAGAAUUUUCUUCUUCAAGCUAUGUCUCUUAACUGUUAUCUCCAUUUUUUUGUUUGCCCCAGGUAUGCAUUAGAUGAUAUUGGUUCUGGAUCUCAUGUGCAUCUCAGUUUGUGUCAGAGUUGAACCCAUAUGAAUAGGU